UACGUAGGGAGCGAGCGUUAUCCGGAAUUAUUGGGUGUAAAGGGUGCGUAGACGGGAAUACAAGUUAGUUGUGAAAUCCCUCGGCUUAACUGAGGAACUGCAACUAAAACUAUAUUUCUUGAGUGCAGGAGAGGUAAGUGGAAUUCCUAGUGUAGCGGUGAAAUGCGUAGAUAUUAGGAGGAACACCAGUGGCGAAGGCGACUUACUGGACCGUAACUGACGUUGAGGCACGAAAGUGUGGGGAGCAAACAGG
rnacentral:rRNA from 1 species